AUGAACGCUAGCGACAGGCCUAACACAUGCAAGUCAGGGGCAGCACAAGGAGCAAUCUGAGGUGGCGACCGGCGCACGGGUGAGUAACACGUAUGCAACCUGCCUGUAAGCGGGGAAUAACCCGUUGAAAGACGGACUAAUACCGCAUAAUACUAAAUUACUGCAUGGUAAUUUAUUUAAACAUUUAUGGCUUACAGAUGGGCAUGCGCAUGAUUAGCUAGUUGGAGAGGUAACGGCUCCCCAAGGCAACGAUCAUUAGGGGUUCUGAGAGGAAGGUCCCCCACACUGGUACUGAGACACGGACCAGACUCCUACGGGAGGCAGCAGUGAGGAAUAUUGGUCAAUGGACGAGAGUCUGAACCAGCCAAGUCGCGUGCAGGAAGAAUGUCCCUAUGGAUUGUAAACUGCUUUUGCAGGGGAAUAAAGUGCAUCACGUGUGAUGUUUUGUAUGUACUCUGCGAAUAAGGAUCGGCUAACUCCGUGCCAGCAGCGGC
rnacentral:rRNA from 1 species